GAAUUUAUUAUGCCCCACCUACGAUAGUAGAGGGGCAUUAUGUUUUCUGGUCUGUGGCUCCGUUCGUCCGUCCAGGUUAAAGUUUUUGGUCAAGGUAGUUUUUGAUGAAGCUGAAGUCCAAUCAACUUGAAACUUGGUACACUUGUUGCUUAUGAGAUGAUCUUUCUAAUUUUUAAGCCAAAUUAGACUUUUGACCCCAAUUUCACGGUCCACUGAACAUAGAAAAUGAAAGUGGGAGUUUCAGGUUAAAGUUUUUGGUCAAGGUAGUUUUUGAUGAGGCUGAAGUCCAAUCAACUAGAAACUUAGUACACUUGUUGCUUAUGAUAUGAUCUUUCUAAUUUUAAUGCCAAAUUAGA
rnacentral:lncRNA from 1 species